UACGUAUGGUGCAAGCGUUAUCCGGAUUUACUGGGUGUAAAGGGAGCGCAGGCGGCACGGCAAGCCUGAUGUGAAAGCCCGCGGCCCAACCGCGGGACUGCAUUGGGAACUACCGGGCUGGAGUGCCGGAGAGGUAGGCGGAAUUCCUAGUGUAGCGGUGAAAUGCGUAGAUAUUAGGAGGAACACCAGUGGCGAAGGCGGCCUACUGGACGGUGACUGACGCUGAGGCUCGAAAGCGUGGGUAGCAAACAGG
rnacentral:rRNA from 1 species